rnacentral:lncRNA from 1 species
GUAGAAUGUUGUUAACUGCUUUUUAUCAUAAAGCAUUUAUAUAUUUUAUUUCUUUUACCGUUUGUUAUUAGUGAUAAAAACUAUGAAAAUGUGAAAUAUAAGCUUGUUAAAAUCUGUAUAUAGAACUUUCUUGAAACUGUACACAUUGCUGGGGAUAUCAUGUAAGAAUCAUACCAUGAGCCAAAGAAACGCUCUUAAUUUAUCAGUAGUCCCAGAAAAACAUGUGCUGAAACGCAUUUAGUAUGAUUCAAUAUCUUUGGGUGGGUAUUCACUCGACUUCACAGCAAAUUAAGACAGAAAGAUAGUUUGGAUAAAAAAUGCAGGGUUUGUUUGAACUGUUUAUAUUGUAAAAUGGAAAAUAUGAAAUCUGGUUAAUUAAUUCAUGACACAAAAGCCCUAUAUGUACUUAAUAACAUCCAAUGCAAAGGAACUCCUUUUUUUAUAUUGCAGUUCUUCAUUAAAUGGUCCCAGUAAUGUGUCUUACAACACAGACA